CUCGCUCACUGCCGUCACUCGUCCCCUAAAUCACGACGGUGGUCACUUUGCCCCGGCAAUCCUCUGCGUGGAUGUGUGGAUGGCAGUACGGACCCGGCCGCCGGCGCUAGGCAAGGGAGGAGUAGCGGCGGAUCUGCGGCAGGGGGAGGAAGACGAGGCUAGAAUAGUCAGGCUCCUGAUCGAUCUCGUUGACAAUUCUAGGGUCCAAGGCCCAGCCGCCUCUCGCUGCCCCCGCUUGCAAACCACCGAUCUUGUAGUUCUUGUGUGAUCGUUGCCUGCUUAUCGUAAGAUUGCGACACCAUCCCCCAACUCACCGCUAGAUUUUUGGCGAAGGUACACCAAACAGUCAAACACCAUUCAGUGUAUGGGAGAGCUUGAAGCAACAGGAGACCAGCACCCUGGGUCCAACGGCGAGGCUGGGCUCAAUGUGAUCUUCACGCCCCAGAUGCUGGUGCUUUGGGCAGGAGAUGAUGGAUGGUCAAACAGGGUUUCAGGAGACUUUCAGGCGUUCCUGGCACCGCAAGUGAGGCCAGUCCGAGUGGAGAUGCCUAGUGUCUGCGAUCAAACUUGGUUUUUCAUUUGCGAAGGAUAUGCUUAUGGACAAUAAUCUGAACAAGAGUCUGAAUGCACUUGAGAAGGAUAAUCUUGUAAGGCCACUGGUGAAGACUUCUGUUGAGCCAUGUGAUGAGAGGAGGCCCUUCCACGCUCUCUUGGAUGUUGGUCUUCUUAGAUGGUCACCGGCUGGCAAAUACUAGAAUCUUGGAUGUUGAUUUUUUUUUUCUUCCAUUGAAGCAUUGGUGGAGAAGUGUCAUAAUCCUUGGCUGUUUUAAGUGCAUGGUUACAGUGACACCGUCUGGCUUUAGUUCAAGCAUGCCCUGUACCAGUGAUCUUUCAUUCUGAGCCUCUAAUUUAGCAAUGAGCUGAGUAGGCAUACAUGUAAACUGUUCACACGUUGAUUGUAAAAUCACAGUAAAAGCU